UGUCAAUUAUAUUCACUUUUUUAUUAUUGCAGAACAAAUAAGUACAUGCAUGAACGUUCGUAUCUAUAAUAAGAUACAUUAAUAAUAUAAAGUAGAAUAAACACAUGGUUUUACGCACAUAAAUAGAAGGAAAGGACAGUAUUAAAACCAAAACAUUUCUUUAAAUAAACUCUCAUAAAGCACCAGGAAUAUUGUACGUCUAUUCACCUGUGUAUUAAUAUUAAUAUGCGCCAGGAGUGACGUCAGAGAUGAAACCCCAAUGCGGUUCAACUGGAAGCGCGCGCGCGCGCCCUCACUCACACACACACACUCGGAGCGCGCGCUAGAGUGGCGGUGUGCGGCGCGUCUCAUGGCUGCUGUGGACUGACGGAGCUCAUCAUGGCUGAAGGCGGAGACGCGGAGGAUGAGAUUCAGUUCCUGCGCACGGCACGUCUAAUUGGUCAGCUGACUACUUCAACUCCACUGCCGGAGUGGGUUUACUGGUUUCCCAGGAUGCUUUGCCUUCUGUGUCGCCGGGAAACACAUUCCAGCAGCAGCUGACUGCAGUAUUCGACAGAGACUGGAACUCACAGUUCGCCGUUCCACUCGCUGAGCUCAAGCAAAACCAUGACUGUGUUUUCUCCAAAUCCACACCAUAGACACUUCACAAACAAACAUUCAACGUGUUCAAUUGUAUUAUGCAUGAAACUUGAAGUAUAAAUGUCAUGUGUUUUAAACUUUUGUUAUAUUUGUGUUAUUAUAUAUGUAUUAUUUACAUGUCUCCAUAUGAGGGAAGCGUUUUGAAAGCCUGCUGCAUUUCAUUUUAAAAAUUAUUUUCUAAUACAAUAAAAUUAAAUGACAAUUUU